AGCUUUGUGCUAUAACGAUAUUAUAGCCAAUGAGGUUUAUCUGAGGCACAAUUAUUGCUAACUGAGAACUUUUCCCAAUUCCCCACCUUGAUGACUUGAAAUGUACUUGGUGCUGGCAAUUUUUGAUAUUCUCUAAGGAGA